rnacentral:tRNA from 1 species
ACGGCUGUAGUGUAGUGGUAACAUCUGAGCUUCCCAAGCUUAUGUCCCGGGUUCGAACCCCGGCAGCCGUA